UGCUUAACACAUGCAAGUCGAACGAUGAAGCCCUUCGGGGUGGAUUAGUGGCGAACGGGUGAGUAACACGUGGGCAAUCUGCCCUGCACUCUGGGACAAGCCCUGGAAACGGGGUCUAAUACCGGAUAUGAUCACCGGCCGCAUGGUCUGGUGAUGGAAAGCUCCGGCGGUGCAGGAUGAGCCCGCGGCCUAUCAGCUUGUUGGUGGGGUGAUGGCCUACCAAGGCGACGACGGGUAGCCGGCCUGAGAGGGCGACCGGCCACACUGGGACUGAGACACGGCCCAGACUCCUACGGGAGGCAGCAGUGGGGAAUAUUGCACAAUGGGCGCAAGCCUGAUGCAGCGACGCCGCGUGAGGGAUGACGGCCUUCGGGUUGUAAACCUCUUUCAGCAGGGAAGAAGCGCAAGUGACGGUACCUGCAGAAGAAGCGCCGGCUAACUACGUGCCAGCAGCCGCGGUAAUACGUAGGGCGCAAGCGUUGUCCGGAAUUAUUGGGCGUAAAGAGCUCGUAGGCGGCCUGUCGCGUCGGAUGUGAAAGCCCGGGGCUUAACCCCGGGUCUGCAUUCGAUACGGGCAGGCUAGAGUUCGGUAGGGGAGAUCGGAAUUCCUGGUGUAGCGGUGAAAUGCGCAGAUAUCAGGAGGAACACCGGUGGCGAAGGCGGAUCUCUGGGCCGAUACUGACGCUGAGGAGCGAAAGCGUGGGGAGCG
rnacentral:rRNA from 1 species